AAAUUGAAGAGUUUGAUCAUGGCUCAGAUUGAACGCUGGCGGCAGGCCUAACACAUGCAAGUCGAACGGUAACAGGAAGAAGCUUGCUUCUUUGCUGACGAGUGGCGGACGGGUGAGUAAUGUCUGGGAAACUGCCUGAUGGAGGGGGAUAACUACUGGAAACGGUAGCUAAUACCGCAUAACGUCGCAAGACCAAAGAGGGGGACCUUCGGGCCUCUUGCCAUCGGAUGUGCCCAGAUGGGAUUAGCUUGUUGGUGGGGUAACGGCUCACCAAGGCGACGAUCCCUAGCUGGUCUGAGAGGAUGACCAGCCACACUGGAACUGAGACACGGUCCAGACUCCUACGGGAGGCAGCAGUGGGGAAUAUUGCACAAUGGGCGCAAGCCUGAUGCAGCCAUGCCGCGUGUAUGAAGAAGGCCUUCGGGUUGUAAAGUACUUUCAGCGGGGAGGAAGGGAGUAAAGUUAAUACCUUUGCUCAUUGACGUUACCCGCAGAAGAAGCACCGGCUAACUCCGUGCCAGCAGCCGCGGUAAUACGGAGGGUGCAAGCGUUAAUCGGAAUUACUGGGCGUAAAGCGCACGCAGGCGGUUUGUUAAGUCAGAUGUGAAAUCCCCGGGCUCAACCUGGGAACUGCAUCUGAUACUGGCAAGCUUGAGUCUCGUAGAGGGGGGUAGAAUUCCAGGUGUAGCGGUGAAAUGCGUAGAGAUCUGGAGGAAUACCGGUGGCGAAGGCGGCCCCCUGGACGAAGACUGACGCUCAGGUGCGAAAGCGUGGGGAGCAAACAGGAUUAGAUACCCUGGUAGUCCACGCCGUAAACGAUGUCGACUUGGAGGUUGUGCCCUUGAGGCGUGGCUUCCGGAGCUAACGCGUUAAGUCGACCGCCUGGGGAGUACGGCCGCAAGGUUAAAACUCAAAUGAAUUGACGGGGGCCCGCACAAGCGGUGGAGCAUGUGGUUUAAUUCGAUGCAACGCGAAGAACCUUACCUGGUCUUGACAUCCACGGAAGUUUUCAGAGAUGAGAAUGUGCCUUCGGGAACCGUGAGACAGGUGCUGCAUGGCUGUCGUCAGCUCGUGUUGUGAAAUGUUGGGUUAAGUCCCGCAACGAGCGCAACCCUUAUCCUUUGUUGCCAGCGGUCCGGCCGGGAACUCAAAGGAGACUGCCAGUGAUAAACUGGAGGAAGGUGGGGAUGACGUCAAGUCAUCAUGGCCCUUACGACCAGGGCUACACACGUGCUACAAUGGCGCAUACAAAGAGAAGCGACCUCGCGAGAGCAAGCGGACCUCAUAAAGUGCGUCGUAGUCCGGAUUGGAGUCUGCAACUCGACUCCAUGAAGUCGGAAUCGCUAGUAAUCGUGGAUCAGCAUGCCACGGUGAAUACGUUCCCGGGCCUUGUACACACCGCCCGUCACACCAUGGGAGUGGGUUGCAAAAGAAGUAGGUAGCUUAACCUUCGGGAGGGCGCUUACCACUUUGUGAUUCAUGACUGGGGUGAAGUCGUAACAAGGUAACCGUAGGGGAACCUGCGGUUGGAUCACCUCCUUACCUUAAAGAAGC
rnacentral:rRNA from 1 species